UUACACUUAGACUUGAUUAAAAAUUAUACUCACGUAGUCUGAAAAGUUAAACUACGCAAGAUUUCAAUAAAGAUAUAUUUUCCCAGUGUUUGUUAGAUCUUCGCAAUGUUGACAAUCGUUGGCUGUUUAGUGUGGUUUAGUCUUUAGUGAUGGACUUCGUUUGAACAAGUUUAAUCAACUGCUAGCAAAGAUAUUCCGGCAUUCACGAGGAAAGAGGACAAUAAACAUGGAAACAUUAAGGAACCAUUGCACAAUAAACCGCACAACGAAAGUUGAGAGUCGGGUGGCGCUGGAGGGCCCCUCCGAGGAGCACCAUCUGCCAUAUCCGGAAGAAGAGCUACGCAACGGCCGCAGCAGCACCAUGACAAGCGCAAGGCUACGAGGAAUGUCCGCAGGAAGGCACUCCGAAGAACCCACAGAUGAAGUGUUUCGUCUCACGGAAAUUUUGACCGCAAUGGACGGCGCUGGUGGACGUGGCUCUGCUUCCAUAGGUCAGCUUUGAUAAUGCCGCCCGGUAGUACGACACAGUACAGCUGAAUCCUCGCGAAAAAACAGGCUACUUUGGAAUCGCUCAUGGACAAACACACUGAGCUGGAGGAUUUCGUGCAUCGUAACCGGGACAAGAUUCGAGUCAUCCGCUUGUAAAUAGUUAAUCGGAAUCUAAGUGCGCAUUCCACCGCGGUCCACCGUGAAAUCGAUUUCGUUCCAUUGAAGGAUGAACAUGAAGAAGAAACCUGAGUAGGAUUUGCAUACCUAAUUCAAUUAUUAUUUCCCUGUUUCAAUAAAUAAAACUGAUUUGUUUCUCUCCA